rnacentral:rRNA from 1 species
GACGAACGCUGGCGGCGUGCUUAACACAUGCAAGUCGAACGGUGAAGCGCCUUCCUUUUUGGUGGGUGUGGAUGAGUGGCGAACGGGUGAGUAACACGUGAGUAACCUGCCCCCUUCUUCUGGAUAACCGCAUGAAAGUGUGGCUAAUACGGGAUAUUCUGGGUCUGUCGCAUGAUGGGUCUGGGAAAGAUAUUGUUUCGGUGGGGGAUGGGCUCGCGGCCUAUCAGCUUGUUGGUGGGGUGAUGGCCUACCAAGGCGGUGACGGGUAGCCGGCCUGAGAGGGUGGACGGUCACACUGGGACUGAGACACGGCCCAGACUCCUACGGGAGGCAGCAGUGGGGAAUAUUGCACAAUGGGCGCAAGCCUGAUGCAGCGCCGCCGCGUGAGGGAUGGAGGCCUUCGGGUUGUGAACCUCUUUCGCCAGUGAAGCAGGCCUGCCUCGUUUGUGGGUGGGUUGACGGUAGCUGGAUAAGAAGCGCCGGCUAACUACGUG